UCGGUAGACCGGGUGCUCGCUCCAUGCUUUAAGCUUGGAGAGGAAAGUCCGGGCUCCAUAUAGCAGCGUAGCGGCUAACGGCCGUCCGUCGAAAGACGAGGAUAUAGAGCCACAGAGACGAGUCCAUCGUUUCGAAAGAAGCGAUGGGGUGAAACGCGGCAAUCUCUACGCGGAGCAAGAUCAAAUAGGUUCCGAUCCAGGAUCUGCUAGAUCCUACUGGAAAACACGUCAGUAUCGGAACGGGUAAGGUCGCUAGCGCUGGCCAAUGCCUCUGGCAUUGACCGCGCAUGUCGUUGGCUUUGCCAGCGACUAGAGCCACGGAGCGAUUCGUGGUCGAGAUAGAUGAGCGCCUCAUCCCGCCUAAUCGCGGGAUAAGACAGAACCCGGCUUACAGGUCUACCGAUAUA
rnacentral:RNase_P_RNA from 1 species